rnacentral:rRNA from 1 species
UACGAGGGGGGCGAGCGUUGUUCGGAAUUAUUGGGCGUAAAGGGCGCGUAGGCGGUCGGAUAAGUCUUGUGUGAAAUCUUCGGGCUCAACUCGAAGUCUGCACAGGAAACUAUCUGGCUUGAGUGUGGGAGAGGUGAGUGGAAUUCCGGGUGUAGCGGUGGAAUGCGUAGAGAUCCGGAAGAACACCGGUGGCGAAGGCGGCCUGCUGGGCCGGUAGCCGCAAGGCUUUUAGCUGACGCUGAGGCGCGACAGCGUGGGGAGCAAACAGG